GAGCCAACAGGGUGUAGUGGUUUGAACACUGGACUAUAACUCUGGAGAUCAGGAUUCGAAUCCCUGUUUGCUCA